AAUCAACGCUGGCGGCGUGCCUCAGACAUGCAAGUCGAACGAUUAAACUUCCCUUCGGGGAAGAUAUAAAGUGGCGCGCGGGUGAGUAACACGUAAGUAAUCUACCUUCGAGUGGGGAAUAACAUCGGGAAACCGAUGCUAAUACCGCAUAACGCAGCGGCACCUUAUGGUGACAGUUGUUAAAGGAGCAAUCCGCUUGAAGAGGAGCUUGCGGCAGAUUAGCUAGUUGGUAAGGUAAUGGCUUACCAAGGCUACGAUCUGUAUCCGGUCUAAGAGGACGGUCGGACACACUGACACUGAAUAACGGGUCAGACUCCUACGGGAGGCAGCAGUCGGGAAUUUUGGGCAAUGGGCGAAAGCCUGACCCAGCAACGCCGCGUGAAGGAUGAAGUAUUUCGGUAUGUAAACUUCGAAAGAAUGGGAAGAAUUAAUGACGGUACCAUUUAUAAGCUCCGGCUAACUACGUGCCAGCAGCCGCGGUAAUACGUAGGGAGCAAGCGUUGUUCGGAUUUACGU
rnacentral:rRNA from 1 species